rnacentral:misc_RNA from 1 species
GAUAGAAAAGGAAGAACCUUGAUUAAUUUCUUAGUUAAUAGCUCAAAAGGAAGCAUGUUUAUUAAAUCAGUGGAUGCUAGUGAUGAAUAAAAAACAACAGCGUUGCUGACUAGUUUGAUUGAGAAAGAACUGAUGGAAAUUGGUCCUGAAAAAGUGGUUCAAGUUGUAACAGAUAAUGCAUCAAAUAAUAUUGCAGCCUGUAAAGUUGUUAUUUAAUAUUAUCUAUUAAAAGAAAAAUCUAUUUGUUUAUUUAUUUUUAUUAUUAAUGAAAUGAAUUAUCUAUUUGUUUAUGGCAGGAAGAAUAUUGGAAGCAAAGUUUCCUCAUCUAUACAGGACUCCAUGUGCAGCCCAUUGUA